rnacentral:lncRNA from 1 species
GAAACGGCACAUUUGCGUUAACUCUCACGUUCACAGAAAAGCAUGAAAGUGCUUUGAAAGAUGUAUAUUGUGAAAGCUGAAGCCACAAAGUCAAAACUAUUCAUCAAUGCAGCACAGCAUAAAAAGAAAUAAUGUGCAGACUGGAGUACAUACCUCUAUUAGCAUUCAGAGCAGCUAACUGUGAAUUCAGUUUUGCAAUAAUGCUGUUUUGAAGCUCUAUCUGUUCCUGCUGUUCACAUAUUUGCUGCAUGUAGUUCUCUGUUUUUUGCUGUAGUUCUUUCACAGCAUGGUCCCUAUCCAUGCAUGCUUGUCGAUAGGCUUCAUAAGCUUUGUUAAGUUGCUCUCCAAUGUUUUUGUCCAUAACUCCCAAUGUUGUUUCAUCACUGAAAGGAUGGUCGAGUUAAGAGAUGAGCGCCUCGCGGAGCUCACGGCCGCUCCCGACACAGGGCGCUGGGUCCCGCCGGAGCGCCUUAACCCAGGAACCAGAACUCACUUCCUGUUGUGCCUCUCCCCGCCCGCCGCGUGACGGCUCCGCGGGCCGGGCGGCUGCCAGUCGGGGGCAACCCUGGGCCUGGGCUCGGCGCCUCCCCGCCCGCCUCGCGCUCCGCCCGGCGGCUCUGGGCUCGCCUCGACUGCCCUGCCGUGGCGCUGGGGCCUCCCUCUCCUAGCGGGGUUGUGCUCCGUGCUCGUGGCCAGCGGCCCCGCGAGACUUCUGACCUCUUUCUGUUUCAGUCUUUCUAUGAACGUGUUUUUUUUUGUGAAGAGAGGUAUUUACGUUCGUAACAUAAUUAAACUUUCAGUUUUCACUGUACUUUUGCUUUUUACUUUUGAAACUUAACGAAGUGGUGUCUUUUUCCCGCCUUUGAUUCAUGUGUGCAAAAUUCUGUAUGCAUAGGAAUAAAUUAAAAUAUUUAAUAAUUUUAUUUUGCUGCUGUUACAAGCCCAUUGUUUUUGAGGUUACAUGUGGGAAUCAUUUUUCUUGAAGCUGUGAGAGUUGAUGGGAGAAAAUGUGGGGUUCUUCACAAGUGUAUGUACACAGGGCACUGGCCAUGAAGCCAGCAGUAGGGAAGCAUCCUGGAUUUUGCGUCACCCUCAGCUGUGUCUGAGCCCCAGGGCUGUGUGCACACAGGCUGUGGUGCUUUUUCUGAUGCGGCAUCUCUUUGCCUGCUGAUCAAAACCUGUGCUACUGGCUCUCACUUUCUAGUUGUGGCAACCUUACAGACCUUGUGUGUGAGCACUGAGCCAAAACAGCCACUGGAACAGCUGUACUUCUUGGAAGAUCAUUUCCAUUAUAAUUUACUUUUCCUGCUAAGUCUUUUGAGCUGUUUUGGCCUUUGUUAAGACUAGAUAGACUUGUAGGCAGGUAGUUUAACGAGCCAAUACAUGUACUUCCUGCUCAGCCACUUUUAAGAACUUGGGGUUUGGUUCUGUUGAACUACUGGGAUUUAGAAUGGUUUUGCUUUGUUAAUGUGUUUCCAAGAAAGGUGGAUUGAUUCCCCCUUCAGAGGCCUUUAGCUUAACAAACUGAGAUUAGUUAAGCUAAAGGUUUCAUUUAACCAGGUCUCUGCUUAAAAAAAGGAGAGAGAAAGGAAGAAAAAAGAAGCUAUUGUUUCUUCUAAGUUUCUACAUUUUUAAGUUUAUUUGGUCUUCCCCAGUAGUUCUGCACUUAAAAUUAUAAGGGGUAUCUCUUUUAGAAACUGAAAAAAAAAUUAUUUCUCCAUUCGUAUCAAUGUAUGGAAAUAUAAGUUAACUGAUGCUAUAUUUUAAGAGGGUUAAUAUGUAGAAAGUGGGUUAUCCGAUGGUGAGAAGUAUCAGCUAAGAUUAUGGGCACGUGAACUUGAGCAGAGACCUACCGUACAUGCCAUCUGUGAGACACGGCCAUUGCACGUCUUGGUGAUUCAGUAGGAAACCAAAGUUUGUUAAUUAGAUUCUAGAAAUGUACUUGAUGUAAUUUUGCUGUGAAGGUCUCAAACCUGUCAGCAAAGCUGACAACCAUCUACAAACAAAGCUUUGCUUUUCUAAGUGAAAUGCAUUAUUCUUUGUACUGUAUUAGAAAUAUCCUAUUGCAAUAAAACACAAGAGAAGCUGUCCUUCCUUGAGCUUCAUUUUUUUAGGAUUGUGGUUUUUUUAGUUUUUUGCUUGUUUUUAAUUUAUUACAAUUCCUGGCCACUGCAAGAUGUACGUUACGAGCCUCACAGCAGCCCGUGCCGAC